GAUGAAAUGCGCUCAGUGGUAGAGCAUGCGAUUGCAAUUAACCAGGCGAUAUCGUGAGGUCCCGUGUUCGAACCACGGUAGCAACU